AUUUAAUAAAUACAAGAUAUUUCCCUGCAAAUGGUUUAUAUUUUCUGGUAUAUGUAUAUAUUCAAGAUGUGGCCAAAGCUAAAUCUGAAACUGGCCAAAUUAAUACAGCAUCAACAAUAUUUGCUGGUGGAGCUGCUGGAAUAUUGGGUUUUAGGAAUGCCAGCCGAUGUAUUAAAAAGUCGACUCCAAUCUGCCCCAGAAGGAACUUACAGAAUGGGAGUUCGUAGCGUUUUCAAGGAAUUAAUUCUAAAGGAUGGACCAAUGGCUUUAUAUCGCGGUGUAACACCCAUAAUGAUUCGCGCAUUUCCAGCAAAUGCGGCCUGUUUUUUUGGCAUUGAGAAAGCUAACAACUUCUUUGAUAUAGUGGCUCCAAUAUUAAAAAAAAUUUUUUUUUUGUUUUUUAAGUGUAAAAGUGCCUUCGAUUUUUAAAUAUAUUGUUAAUAUUCUCCUUUAUAGAA